AAAUAAUUCAUUAGAAACCUUUCUUACUGUUUAACAUUACUAAUACAUGUUCGUAUAUUGCUAUCCCAGCAUCUCUGACACAUUAAUAUUGUGACUUCUUUUACAGAACAGUGAAUACAAAAAAGAGGAGAGGAUUCAAGAAGAUACGAGCCAUCAACGUGCAAGUAGGACUGUAAGUGAUAAAGGAAAACUCAUUGAAAAAGAGGAAAGAGACACAAGACAAGAGGAAAUGAAAGAUACAUACAUCUAUAAUUCAGACAUGGGAGUUGAUAACUUUUCAGCAAAUUACGAAGAUGAUUUUGAAGUAAGUAAAAGCAUAGAGUUGUCCUUUUGAAACAAUUCUCAAGUAUCAAAACUACAGGAUGUUACAUGGUUUUCACUUACUCUUUUUUGGUGACAGUCACCUUAAC
rnacentral:lncRNA from 1 species